GAACAUCCUUGGGUUGUAAUUUCUGAAAAAUAAAAGAAAUGAAAAUAAACAAAAUAUAAAAUAAAAAGAAAAAAAGGGAAAAGUAAACAUGAACUUACCAAAGGAAAGCACACUGCGCAGCCGUGUUCUGCUUGCUCAUAAGUCAUAAUGGUAUCGGUGACUGACAGUUCUCCAAUCUCUACACGGAUGCAAAAUAAUAGGUGUGUUCCAAGGGCGAGUUGGGUUGCGUGUUAGAUUAGAUAAGUUGCGUGUGACCUGAAAUGUUACGAUACUAGUUUUGUUUUAGGUUCGUAUUUAGAUAUCGUGAACAACCAUUUUUUUGCAUGUUAUUGUUUGUUAUGGAUUAAAUGUUUUAUUAUUAUUAAUGUUAUUAUUUCGUUAUUAUGUAAUGUGAUGUUUGUAGUGUUCUGGUCUCAGGUGAAGCUGUGUUACAGGUCUCCCCAAUUUUUGACCUACGAACACACCUCGGGGAUAAUAAUACCCCUAUUUUGUUAGAGGAGUACUAACACCAGCAUGGCCUCCCACUAUUUUGGUUUGAUAAUGUGAGUGGAGGAAUACACUAGGUGAAGGUGGGUAGGCGAUCGGAUGAUAUUGCUGUUAGAGAUACAUCGUCUGAAUAUACCUUUGCCGGUGUGGGUUGUUAUUUUAGCAUACCCUCAUUUAGCCGACUAUCACACAGAGGCGAGUAAGACAGUGAAUUCGAAUUCAAAUUCAAAUAUAUUAUAAAAAUUUAAAAAAAUAAGCAACCAGCAAACGACGAAUUCGGUAGUGUCAAUUGUCGAUCGUCAAUAGUGGGAUUAUAGUUUAUAUUGUGGUUUAGCCAAUAACUCUGGGAGAACUAUAAAGAAGGGAAGUGAAGAACAAAGAAAGGUGUUUGAUUUUCGGCGGCCCGAACUCAUUGGCGGAAAGCUGGGCCGCCGCCAACAAAAAAAAAAAAAAGGAAAUUUUAUACGCGAUAAGAAAAUUCAAAGAAGAAAAAAAAGUUGAAUUGAAACAAAUCCAAAUAGGAUAGCGUAAAAAUCCCUAGGUCCAUUAAAAAAAAAAGGAAAGGGAUUCAUAAAUUAAAAAAAAAAAUAGUGAAAAUUCCAUCAAUAUAGCAAUAAUAGAUACGCAAUCAAUUAGAUUUAGCUAUAAAAUAAAUACCUACCUGUACUUACCCAGUGGAUUUUUAUGUGUUGUGAUUGUCCUAUAAUUAAGUUGUUCGGUUUUGUUUAAAAAAUUUGUACGUAUACAAAAAUAUUCAUAUUUGUACAAUUAGUCGAGGCGUGGAAGUUACUUUGUUUGUUCUCAAUUUAUUUAUUUUUUUUGGUUACUUGUUUUAAAACAUAUUCUUGUGAGGUACCGAAAAUCGGUGAGCGGUUGAAUCGCGUCCAGUCACUGGGUUGUUUGUUUUAGUCUUAGCCGACACCUCCACAGAGCUCUAUAGGGGUAGGGAGCUAGGGCAUCGUCGUUGAUUGAUUGAAAGAUACUACAAAGGGUAUCAAAAUUGAAUAUUGAAACGCGGCUUUUCAGUACCAAUUUCUUUUUUUUUCUCAUUUGUUUAAAAGUUUAAUGUUGUAAGCAAUAAUUGUAAUUUAAAAUAAUUAUGUGAAUAAACUUCCAUAACGCCUAUCGAAAGGACGAAAAUAGUUUUUUUGUUAUUGCUGUUUCGCCCCAGCGAAGCAAUGUUGUGCUAAGUUCUUUUUUUCAGGGGUGUCGAGGGUAGCGGAGUGGACAUGGACCUAAGAUGACCUGAACCCGAUCGUCGACCACCAUUUGGGGGUAUCCAAAACUGGCCACGGAUACCUAAAGGUAGGGUGGGUAAUGGCCUCACUGCACAACAUCCGCAGUGCCCUGAUGUGCCAAUAGUCCGUCCGUUUAUGUUUCCUUCCUGUUCCUCAUUCCUUGGCCUGAUUUAUGUUUUUGUCUGCAGGCGAGGUUGAGUUUCGGGGGCAAGAUCCCCCCCGUCCGACGAGCUGACGCCGUGCACCGCAAGCAGGCCGCGUCCCCCGGAUCUCAACAAUCCCACCUAACCUAUUCCAAAUCUUCCUAUCUCUUUUUCCUACCUCAUCCUUAUCCUACCCUUCCACUUCACCCACCUCCGCACCUCCUCUUGCCUCGCAACUAAAUGGCGCCCAACGUUUUUAAAGGGUGUUCCAAUCGCAACAAAAUGGCGCCCAACGUCAUUAAAGGGUGUUCCAACCCAGUUGGAACAUUUUUUUUUGGCUAAUUAGUUUAUGUUGUACUAGUUUCCGUUUUUUCUAUGUUGUAUUGUCUUAACCAAACUUGCUGUGGAUUUUUAAACCUCGUAUGUCUGCGUCAGGAAGGCCACAGGCGUACCUAGUCGUAUCGCGACGAGUGUUUGAAAAUUCACAGUGACCGCGGUUAAUGAAUGUAAUGUUCUUUCUGGAAUUACUGAAGUUUUUGCAUAGGGCGUAUGUCUGCACCAGGAAGGCCACGGGCGAACCUAGGUGUAUCGCGACGUUCCUCUGCGAAAGCUUGAGUAAGGUCAGUCAGUACAUUUUGCGUUUUGUCUUUUACCUAUUCCCAUCCUAACUUUUUUUUCUUUUCUUUCUUUCUAAUUUUUCAAUUUUCUAUUCCUAGUCUUGUUUUCUACUUGGACGAUUGAAUGUGCGAGACGUGUAGUCCAACAUCAUCGUUCGAAGAUUUUUGUAAGUUUUAUUCUACCGUUUCAUGUCUUCUAGCAAGGUCCCUUGAGACUGUCUAGGAUCGCGGGAACGGUAGGGGAAAACUUUGUCACGUAAAUUGUUUGUGUUUCUAGUAGUUUUCCUAUCCCAUUAUAG